AAGUCGUAACAAGGUUUCCGUAGGUGAACCUGCGGAAGGAUCAUUAACACAAUUUUACUGUGAUAAAAUCCAAUUGAGUUAUCGAAUACUCUUCGUGAUUCAAUGGUAUCCACCCCAUUAUUGACGAACUUUUGUCUAGAUGUUUAAAAAAAACAUAGAGCUCGUCUUUGUGUUUUUUAAAACAUUCUAAACCUUUGUCUCUACCCCAUCAAAACUUUUAACCCCUUUUACAACAUGUCUUAGACUGAAAUGAAAUAUUUUUCUUAUCAAAAAAAUGAUAAAAAAACAACUUUUAACAACGGAUAUCUUGGUUCUC
rnacentral:misc_RNA from 1 species